UGGCAGAUUGUUUUGUCUUGAAUGGUGUU
rnacentral:piRNA from 1 species